rnacentral:lncRNA from 1 species
GAGAGCGCGCGGCCGACGUAGGUGGGGUCAGGCAGAAAGUCUUACUCCCUAACUCUGCAGUUCCAAAGAGACGCGUUUUGAGAGGGGUGAUUUUGAGUCGGUCUUUUACUUGUAAAGAAAUACUCUCGGGAAACGUUGGUGUGGACAUUUUGGCGUAUAUUUACGAUGUCUUACUAUCCAAGCCCGGAAUGUCCCACCCUAGGGCGUCGGCAGGUCCACCACCUCUGGCGUUACGAGAAUAACUCGCCCUUAUUCACUACGAGAUCUCUAAUUGAGAUCCCUAGAUAUGAUCCUGCCGGCCAGAGGGUGGGGUCCUUGAGAUAUACACGGGGAGUGUGCCAGUUCCAUGGUGUAAUGAUGGAUUUAUUGCUGGAGCUGAGCCAGUAUUAGGCCUCCGGUUACUUUUUCUCCGCACAUGUCUGUCGCUGCCAACACAGUGUGAGAGAAGUUCUUACAUACUGCCCAAGAUGUGCGUCAGCUAAAUGGUAAAUAUUUAUUGAGCAGAUAUCAUUGCAAGCCUACGAGCUAAUGGCUUAAUUCUGAUCCUCAACUGCCCAGCGUCCGGUGAUAAAAAUAGAAAGGUACUUUUUAAAAAACCGAGAUGUUCCUUCUUAAACCACGGGUCAUUGACCAUCAAGGUGAUAACAUUGACUUUCAGUAUGAUCACACAGCAUAUUUAUUUCUCCAACUGACAUCAUGAUAGGCAUUUUGAGCUGUUCGUGCAGCCUCAAUUAGUAUUCAAGAAAAGGCUGGAUUGGAGCCAGGGGUAUGGUCUCAGAGAAACUGGAAAGGGGCUCUAGACUUUGUCAAGCAAUCAGGGCAAGGUCUGCUGUGGUCUAGUGGACUUGGGUAAAAACCAAAUGUCAUAUACUGUAUAUUCUAUAAUACCCCAGGGAGUUUAGGGAAAACACUGCGUAAUCAAAUAUAUUAAUAUUUUUGCAGCAAGAUAUAUGAUUGUUCAUACGGGAUAAAUAAAUACAAGUAAAUAGCCUCAUUCAGUUUGAGUCAGACGCUUCUGCCAAAUAAGUUUAAGAUAGAUCUAUUUGACUGUCAAAUAAAUUACUAAAAAAAAAAAAAAACAGAAACUUGGUUUCCAGAGCUUUUGAAGUUUCAGAAUUGGAGACAAGGGAUUUGUGGAUCCUUGUGAGGGUAUGACUUUUGUCAAACCUAAAAAUUAUUAGGUUUUAUGUGUCUUAAACAUGUUAAUUAACUUCCUAGGUAUAAAAAUGUAACUCAAAGUACUAACUUUUAAAAACGUUUUGCUCACUAAGAUAGGUUUUUUUGUUUUCUUUUUGGAUUAUGGAAAGAUACCAGAUAUAAGGUAGGGAAAUAUAUAUUUAUGGAAAGAUGUUAACUACCUGAAUGUAUUCUCUUCCUAGAUAUCUAAUAGUGAAUUUAUGGCUUCCAAAGAAAAAAAAGUUAGUUUUCUCUAUAUGAUAGAGGUGUUAGUUCCAGGCGCGGUGGCUCACGCCCGUAAUCCCUGCACUUUGGGAGGCCGAGGCAGGCGGAUUUCUUGAGCUCAAGAGUUUCAGACCAGCCUGGGCAACAUGGUGAAACCCUGUCUCUACAAAAAAUUCAAAAUUUAACUGGGUGUGGUGGCAUGUGCCUAUGGUCUCAACUACUGUGGAGGCUGAGGUGGGAGAAUCGCUUGAGCCCAGGAGGUUGAGGCUACAGUGAGCUGAGAUAGCACCACUACACUCCAGACUGGGCAGCAGAGCCACACCCUGUCUCUCACACACACACACAAAAAACAACAGCAACAACAAAAACAAAAUGCCGUGUGUGGAAACCAGUCGCUCAGUUCAGUAAACAUAUACAAUUUGGUGUCAUGAAGCGUUCUAGAUGCUGAGGACAAUUGACAGAUUAAAAAGACAACUAGAUCCGGCGCGGUGGCUCACACCUGUAAUCCUAACACUUUGGAAGGCCGAGGUGCGCAGAUCACUUGAGGUCAGGAGUUCGAGACCAGUCUGGCCAACAUGGCAAAAUCCUGUCUCUACUAAAAAUACAAAAGUUAGGGGGGCGUGGUGGCACUUGCCUGUUGUCCCAGCUACUCGGGAGGCUGAGGUAGGAGAAUUGCUUGAACCUGGGAGGCGGAGGUUGCAGUGAGCUGAGAUCCCGCCGCUGCAUUCCAGCCUGGGCGACAGAGGGAGACUCUGUCUCAAAAACAACAACAACAACAACAACAAAAACAAAACAGAAAAAGACAACUUAAGUUUCUGCCUACAAAAAGCUAAUAAUCUAGCAGUGGAGACAAAUACGGAGUCCUAGUUUGGUGCUCUGUUUUUUUUCAAUAUACCAUAUCAGCUCUCUUGGACCUUUUAAGCUGCCUUAAACAUUAUACUUAGAAAAAGGUAAAAUGGAUAGGAAUGAUAAACUGGUAACAUUUUUAGAGCUUUUAAAGUUUCCGUUUAAAUGCUUUUAUCAAUUGCAUGAGAAAGCCAAUUGCUAGAAUGAAUUGCUGGAAACGUUAAAACACAUAUAAAUACUGCCCAUCGUCACUUUUUUUUGUUUUUUUUUUUUUUGAGAUGGAGUCUCGCUCUGUCGCCCAGGCUGGAGUGCAGUGGCUCGAUCUCUGCUCACUGCAAGCUCCGCCUCCCGGGUUCACGCCAUUCUCCUGCCUCAGCCUCCCGAGUAACUGGGACUACAGGUGCUAGCCACCACGACCGGCUAAUUUUUUUGUAUUUUUAGUAGAGACGGGGUUUCACCGUGUUAGCCAGGAUGGUCUCGAUCUCCUGACCUCUUGAUCCGUCCGCCUCGGCCUCCCAAAGUGCUGGGAUUACAGGCGUGAGCCACCGCGCCCGGCCCCAUCAUCACUUUUAAAGAUGUAAAAGAUGUGUUUAUUUUGCCUGAAAUAUCAGUUCUUGAGUUUUAAAGCAGCAGAUUUUAGGUAUCAUCCAAGGCAGUGGUUUUGAAGCUUUUCUCUGUAUUAGAAAUGGAACCUUAAUCAAACUUAAUUUUAUGCAAAAGUCGAUAUAGUAUACAAAUAAAAACUGCUCUAUUUGAAACAGGGUUUCAAAGUUGAGGUCCCUGUCUGUUUGACCUUCCUUGAAUCUCCGGAGACUGUCCUAAGGCCCGAUAAAAAAAAAGAACAAAUGAAAAACUAUUGGUCCAAAGCAGAGGUUGGCAAAUUAUGGUCCACUGGACAAAUCUGUCCCACUCUCUGUUUUUGUAAAUAACAUAUUGUUGGAACAUAGCCAGGACUAUUUGUUUAUAUAUUGCACAUGGCCGCUAUCAUGGCAGAGUUGAGUAGCUGGGACAGAGACUGUGUGACCCACAAAGCCUAAGCCUAAGAUAUUUACUAUCAGGCCGUUUUUACAGAAAAAUUUUCAGAUCCUUGGUCCAUAAGAUACUAUUUUCUAGGGUACCUCAGAACUAAAAAUACCCUCAAAUUAAAUGGUUUCAGCAGAUCAUAUGAUGCUGCAAAAUCAUGUGUGUAGAUAAAAAUAAGAAUAAAACCUUCCCUACCUGGCUCAUUCCCAAUGACUAUUAAAAUUUCAUACAUCUAAGGGUAAGGUGGGUUUAAGGAAAAUUUUUAUGCUUAACUAAAUUCCUUAUCUGCAUAGCAAAUACUCUACUCUCCAAAGACUAGAGGUCACAGCCACUGUAUGGAACAACUUAUCUGUGGGAUGUUCAUUCUCUCCUCUUGGCAAGAAUAAUACAAACUGGCAACAUCCUUGAGGCUAAUUUUGCCGCAACCCCAAGGGUAACCAGUCACUCAGAACAUCAGUGUUCCAAGUACAUCCUAAUGCAUGUAGCCUUUUGUUACAAGCAAGAGCUAAAGUGAUAACUCAGGAAAAAUAAUUUUUUAUGUACAGUGUUAGGUGAUUUGAGACAUAAUGUUGACAGGAAAAGAUUAAAUAUUACUCACUGUGUUGCCCAGGCUGGUCUUGAACUCCUGGCCUCAAGUGAUCCUCUUGCCUUGGCCUCCCAAAGUGUUGGGAUUACAGGCGUGAGCCACUGUACCUGGUCUACAACCUGCAACCCUUCUGAUACCUACUUCCACAAGCAAAUUUCAGGUCUUUUUCAAAGUAAAGUACCAUCUUUACUGUAGCAUUUAUGUAUUUCCUAAUCAUUUUACAUGUGUAAAACUGUGCUGCCAUUUUUAUUAGGUUCAUAUCUUUUUGUGUAUAUAUCACUGAUGAAAUUUUUGAAUGUUGUGCCCCUACCCCAUUUUCCCCAUAAGCCUUGUGGUUUUUAUUGAACAAUUUUGCAUAGCAGAGUGAUUUUUAGGAAUGCUCAUGCCCCUUUAUAGCAGAACUGACUGUAGUCCAGAUGUGGUAGCUUCAGGUAUGGCUGGAUCCAGGGCCCAAGAUAUAUCAAUACGCUCUCUCUUUCUGUCCAUCUGCUUCUUUUUGUGUUUUGGCUUCAAUUUUCCUACUGCAAACAACUUCCUUCUUGUAGUUAGUGAAGAUGGCUGCAAGGAACUUUAGCUUAUAAUGUCUUAAUAACUCUCAGUCCCAAAGGAAGUGAGACUUUCUCUGUCAGUGUUUAUAUAUUAAAUCUCAGAGAGGAUGUUGAUUGGUUUUAGGAGGCCCAUCUAGCUAGGAGCAUACAGAACUCUCAUUUGUUCAGGCCUGGGUCAGCUGAUUGCUUGCCACUCGCCAAAUCAGGAGAGACUACUGUGAUUAUCUUCCUUACUAGGACUGCAUAGAAUAUUCAGUGGAUGUUUUUUCAAGGAAAGGAUACUAGCAAAACAAACAGACAAACAAAAGGAUACUAGCAGACAGUAGCAACAUGUUUAUAUAAGUUAUUAAGGGGUAAGUCUCUAUAUACAUUGACAUGAAAAGAGCUCAUAAAGUGUUAAAUGAAAACAGAUGUUACAGAAUACUGUGUAUAGAAUAAUCCCAUUCAUGUCAGUCAUUUAUCUAUGCACAUGUGUAUACCUCUGUGUAUGGAGAAUUCUGGAAAAAUAUUCACAAAGGAUUUACGGCGAGCAUCUUUUGUUGCUGAUUAAAAUAAUAAUAAUAGGAGGUUUGUGCCUUAUUUGUACCUUUGUGUAAUGAUUUUCUACAGCGAAUAUGUAUUACCUUAUAAAUAAGGGGAAAUUAUUAAAAGAAAAUAUAUAACCUAUCAUAUACAAGGUAGAUUUACAUACAAAAUUAAGAUCUAAAAUUCAUUUCCUACAUAGUGCAUAACUAUGAGUCCUGGGCCUAUUGUAGGUAAGAUGGUUUCUGGAACACUUCAGUAAAUACCACCAAGAAGCUGAACUUUGAAAAAAUACCCACAAAGCAAAUCUUGAAAUGCAAUUAGUCUACCAGUAGAAAGUCAUAUUUUCUGCACUGCAAGCCUGACACAUAAAGAGAAUAAGUAAUGGUAAUUUCUAAAGCAACUAGAAAUGGUGAAUCUGUGAAACAGAUCGGAAGCUUUUUGGAGCAAGGUUGGAGGUAUACUUCUAACAAUAUGGACUAAGCAUAAUUUUGUUUUUCAACACAUUGAGUAUAUAUGGCGUGAUCUAAAGAGAAAUGAAUAAAGGCAUAUGAACUUCAUCCUUCAAAAAAAUUAUUCUGGGUCACAAACUGGAGAAGAUGUCUUUUAUCUACCACCCAUGGCAUCUUUAUUUUUUUUAAAUGCUUGAAACUCAAUCUAAAGGCAAAUAUUUAUAUAGAAAUGUCAGUCACCAGGCUAAUAUACACAUACACACACACACUCAACAGCAACAACUAGAAUUUUCUGGUGCUAUAGACUGUUUGUGUUCUCUCAAAAUUCAUAUGUUGAAACCUAAUCCCCAAUGUGAUGGUAUCUGGAGGUGAGAAGGAACUUUAAAGGUCAUCAGUCCAAGCCUCAUAUCUCAUAGAUGAAUUCCUUCUACAAACUUCACCAGUAAAUGGUCAUUCAAGGACAUGGAGUUUAGUAUUUAUCCAAUCAAUUUUUUGAUAACCUCUAAUGUUAGCAGAUUUCUUCAUUUUAUUUGGCCCAAAUCUACAUUUCUGUAAUUUUCAUCCACUGGUUAUGAUUCUGGUUACUAAGUCCAUACAAAACCUUUCAUCUUUUCAAAGAUGGUUAUCAAUUCUCUGUUGUAUGUUUAUCUUGGGAAUAUAUACUGAUAUGUUUACACUGAAUGUGUUCAGAGACAGAUAAAUGGGAAUUUUGACUACACAAUUAAGGUGGUGCAUUAAAUAAAUAUGCAAUAAUAUGUGCAGAUACUAUACAUGUCCACCA